rnacentral:rRNA from 1 species
CCAACAGGUACACUAUGAGAUGGACCCGCGUUGUAUUAGCUAGUUGGUAGUGUAAUGGACUACCAAGGCGAUGAUACAUAGCCGACCUGAGAGGGUGAUCGGCCACAUUGGGACUGAGACACGGCCCAAACUCCUACGGGAGGCAGUAGUAGGGAAUCUUCGGCAAUGGACGAAAGUCUGACCGAGCAACGCCGCGUGAGUGAAGAAGGUUUUCGGAUCGUAAAACUCUGUUGUUAGAGAAGAAUGUUGAUUAGAGUGGAAAAUUAAUCAAGUGACGGUAUCUAACCAGAAAGGGACGGCUAACUACGUG